UCCUGCAGAGUUUAUGCAUUGAGUCCUGUUGCCCCUGAGGCAUGUAACGUGGGGCGGGCUGUCUUUUGGAGGCCCUCAGGUGUCCUACAGAUGGGACACAUAAAGGCAAGAUGCCAUCCACCUCCGGCAGCUUUCACGAAGCUUGAAAGACUGGCUUAUAAUGGAUCCUAGGUUUCUUUUGUCCCUUGCUGCCUCUCUUGUCCUACUUCAAUAUUCUUUAUCCUGUGAUGACAUGUGCACUUCACAGUACAAAGAAGGUAGAAGAUGCUCAAGGAAUUCUUGCUGAAAUAAACUGUGUAUCCAAAAGGGGAAGAAUUUCUGGAUCACAUGGUAGCUGUGUUUAACAAUUUGAGGAACCACCAAACUAUUUUCCAAAGUGACUGUACCAUUUUACAUUCCCAAUGUGUAAAUGUCACAAUGUAUGAAAUUUCCAAUUUCUUCACAUCGUCAGCAACAAAUUUUAACAAUUGUUAUUGUGUGACUUUUUUAUUCUAGUCAUUCA